rnacentral:rRNA from 1 species
GACGAACGCUGGCGGCGUGCUUAACACAUGCAAGUCGAACGGACAGGCCCUGCUUUUGUGGUGUGCUCGAGUGGCGAACGGGUGAGUAACACGUGAGUAACCUGCCCUUGACUUUGGGAUAACUUCAGGAAACUGGGGCUAAUACCGGAUAUGAGCUCCUGCUGCGUGUUGGGGGUUGGAAAAAUUCGGCGGUGGGGGAUGGACUCGCGGCUUAUCAGCUUGUUGGUGAGGUAGUGGCUUACCAAGGCUUUGACGGGUAGCCGGCCUGAGAGGGUUACCGGCGACAUUGGGACUGAGAUACGGACCAGACGCCUACGGGAGGCAGCAGGGGGGAAUAUUGCACAAUGGGCGGAAGCCUGAUGCAGCAAUGCCGCGUGCGGGAUGACGGCCUUCGGGUUGUAAACCGCUUUCGCAUGUGACGAAGCGUGAGUGACGGUAAUGGGUAAAGAAGCACCGGCUAACUACGUG